ensembl:rRNA 5S_rRNA 5S ribosomal RNA
GCCUAUGGCUACAUCAGGCUGAAUGCACUUGGUCUUGUCUGAUGUCGGAAGCUGAACUCUCGUGGGUCUGGCUAGUACUUGGUUGGGAGAACAUCUGGGAAUCCCAGGAGGUAUAGGCA